rnacentral:rRNA from 1 species
GACGAACGCUGGCGGCGUGCUUAACACAUGCCAGUCGAACGGAAAGGCCUCGUUCGGGGGGUGCGCGCGUGGGGAACGCGUGAGUAACACACGAGUGACAUGCGCUUGAGACUGGGGGAAAUUCAGGGGAAACGGGGGAAAAUAGGGGAUGGGCUCCUGCGGCGUGGGGGGGGGUGGGGAGUGUCGCGGCGGGGGGGGAUGCACGCGCGGUUUAAGAGCGUGUGGGGGGGGGAGUGGCUUACCAAGGUUUUGACGGGUAGCCGGCCUGAGAGGGUGAACGGCCACAUUGGGACUGAGAUACGGCCCAGACUCCUACGGGAGGCAGCAGUGGGGAAUAUUGCACAAUGGGUGGAAGCCUGAUGCAGCAACGCCGUGUGCGGGAUGACGGGCCUCGGGUUGUAAACCGCUUUCGCUCAUGACGAAGCUUUGUGUGACGGUAGUGGGUAAAGAAGCACCGGCUAACUACGUG